rnacentral:lncRNA from 1 species
CUUGAUUAGUUUUUCAACCUUUCUACCUACUACAUGAUACUUCACAUUUUUAACACCAUAUAUUUUUCAAAAAGUACAUACAACUUUUGCUUCAACUAAGUUAAAAACAUACAUUACAAAAGGUCAUUGCAUCAGUAAAAGUCACUACACUCUAUAGCAAAAUGUCAUUGCAUCAACAGAUUUUUAUUCAGAAUCCUUUAAUAGCUUGAGUAUUUUUCUUGAUAAAUCUAAUAAUUCACGUGUCUCAGCAAUCGAAGCUGUUGCUUCCACGAAUGAAAUGAUGAUGAUGAAGUAUCUGAAGUUUUUGGGAAAAACGCUACUACUUUCUCAUUAAAAUUGGAGAAUCUUUUUGAUAGAGCUCUUGAGCUUGAAUCUUUUGCCGCAUUUGCCAAAAACUAUGGAUUCCAAGCUUCUCAAGGGAAAACAGUGGAAGAACAAGCCAAGGAUCUAGAAAAGAGAGAGAGGCCUUGUAUCUCCAAUGCUGAAAGAAGAGAGCGAUCAACAAGAUAAUAUUGAAGCUGCUCCCAUUGACCAUGAAAAAGAAGAGGCGGAAGAAAAUUGAGGCAUUGCAAGUCACCUUGAUAAAAUUGUUAAAAAUUUAGAGCCAAAAUUAACCGUGAUUAG